rnacentral:rRNA from 1 species
AUGGAGAUACACGAACUGAACAAGUUGGCCAAAGAAUCAUACUACCCUCAACAUAUAAUGGUAGCCCUAGAAAUAAGCAGCAAAACUACCAAGAUGCCAUGGCGAUUUGUCGUUGGGCUGGCUAUCCUGAUCUCUUCAUCACUUUUACAUGCAAUCCGAAAUGGCCGGAAAUACAGGAUAUGCUGGAUCUGA